UAGGGAAUCUUCCACAAUGGACGGAAGUCUGUAUGGAGCAACGCCGCGUGAGCGAAGAAGGUUUUCGGAUCGUAAAGCUCUGUUGCCGGAGAAGAACGGGGAGGAGAGGAAAUGCUCCUGUCGUGACGGUAUCCGGCGAGAAAGCCACGGCUAACUACGUGCCAGCAGCCGCGGUAAUACGUAGGUGGCGAGCGUUGUCCGGAAUUAUUGGGCGUAAAGGGCGCGCAGGCGGCUUCUUAAGUCUGAUGUGAAAUCUUGCGGCUCAACCGCAAAAGGGUCAUUGGAAACUGGGGAGCUU
rnacentral:rRNA from 1 species